CAUGCAAGUCGAGCGCGAACGGGGACUUCGGUUCCUUAGUAGAGCGGCGAACGGGUGAGUAACACGUGGGUAAUCUGCCUCCGGGUGGGGAAUAACUCAGGGAAACUUGAGCUAAUUCCGCAUAACGUGGCCGACCAUAAGAUCGGCUACCAAAGCUGGGGAUCCUUCGGGACCUGGCGCCUGGGGAGGAGCCCGCGGCCAAUUAGCUUGUUGGUGAGGUAAUGGCCCACCAAGGCUCCGAUUGGUAGCCGGCCUGAGAGGGCGGACGGUCACACUGGAACUGAGACACGGUCCAGACUCCUACGGGAGGCAGCAGUGAGGAAUUUUCGUCAAUGGGGGAAACCCUGAACGAGCAACGCCGCGUGGAGGACGAAGACCUUCGGGUUGUAAACUCCUGUCGGACGGGACGAAAGCUAUCGAGGUUAAUACCCUUGGUAGUUGACGGUACCGUACGAGGAAGCCCCGGCUAACUUCGUGCCAGCAGCCGCGGUAAUACGAGGGGGGCAAGCGUUGUUCGGAAUUACUGGGCGUAAAGGGCGCGUAGGCGGUUUGGCAAGUCUUCCGUGAAAGCCCACGGCUCAACCGUGGAACAGCGGGGGAAACUGCCAGACUUGAGUCCGGGAGGGGGGAGUGGAAUUCCCAGUGUAGCGGUGAAAUGCGCAGAUAUUGGGAGGAACACCGGAGGCGAAGGCGUCUCCCUGGACCGGUACUGACG
rnacentral:rRNA from 1 species